UUAUCACACUUAUUUGUUGGUUUCAUCAAGAUUGUCAAGAUGCUUACUGUGUUCAAAACGAAGGAGCCUGGAGAUGUAGAAGAAUUAACGUAGAACAGUCUUUAUUAAUCCAAAGAAGGAAAACAUAAGGCAGGCAGGAACACACAUAGCACAUAGACGUUUAGCACCAGACAGGAAACAAGGGGCAGAGCACAAUUUAAAUACAGAACUAAAUGAGGAACUCAAUAAGACACACCUGAAAUCAAUGAACACAUUCAGUACGAGGGAGAAACAGGGUCACGGGGAGCACAUGGGGAACAAAACACGACAAAACAGGAACACAGGGCUGACAUUACCUCCCCCUCUCGGACAUAACUUCCAAAGGGGGGGGGGUGCUCUUGAGGCCUCUAGGGACAGGCUUGUAUGGGAUGGGAGGCUUCCAGGGUGGUACCAGCCCGGGACCCAUGCCGGAGCAGGCAGUUCAGAAGGUCAUGGCAGAACAAGGAGUUGAGAAGACCAUAGCGGAACAGGCAGUUCAGGGUGCCAUAGCAGAGCGGGCAGCUCAGGGAGCAAUGGCGGAGUAGGCAGUCCCAGAGGCCAUGGUGGAGCGGAUAGUUCAAGGAGCUAUGGCGGGAUGGCCUCUAUGGCCUCUAUGGCCUUGGCUUUUGGAACUCGUGGGAACAACAGCUUUCUCUGGGCUGGACGUGGGGAAAGGAGCCCUCUCUGGGCUAUACUCGGGAUCUGUGGCCCUCCCUGGGCCACACGUAGGAACAACAGCAUUCUCUGGGCUAUAAUUGAGAUCUGAGGCCCUCCCUGGGCCAGACGUGGGAACAAUAGCCCUCCCUGGGCUGGACAUGGGGACAGGAGCCCUCUCUGGGCUAUACUCGGGAUCUGAGACCCUCCCUGGGCCAUACAUGGGAACCGCAGCCCUCUCUGUGAGUUGAGCUCUGUGAUGUGAGUGGGCUCCCUGUUGAACUCUGUGGAGCAUUCUGGAGCGGACUCUGGAGAGAGGAUCAGGCUUGACAAGAGUCUCUUCCUCCUCAUUCUCAUCUUUUGGGCCAAGGUGAACGAGAUUGCUGCUGUCAUAACAGGGCUAGGGAGUGAUUAAUUAAUUCACUUUAUUUAAUAUAAAAUAUAUUAAAGUAAAAUCCAAAAAGUUAAAAUGAUUAAAGACAUCUUAAUUAAACAAUUCCUGGUAUGCCAGAUGGAAACAUUGUGCCAUGUGAAAAUAAGCAAAAAACUGCUCAUGGACAAGCUUAUAUGCACAUUGUAACUUGUAAAUCUGAACAUUUAGUAAUACCUAUUA
ensembl:lncRNA